GCACUCUUAUUUCAGUUUAGUAGAAUGUAGGUCUCCAAAACCUGAUGACGUAGGUUCAAAUGCUACAAAGCGUG
rnacentral:tRNA from 1 species